rnacentral:misc_RNA from 1 species
GUGAGUGCUAUACGUAGAUGGGGACAAGGUUUGAGAGAAGAAACCAAAGGAUAGAGUUCAGUGCAGCUCUAUUCCUGAGACCGUCCAUACGUGGCGAAGAGUCACAUCCUGCACGAGGUGUCCUUGCUUUAACAAAAUAUGGCGGAUCUAGAGAGGACAACUCGAUAAAACCCGUAAUCCCAGGUGUUAAUCGGACCGUGCUUCGGGAUGAAUGGCACUACGUAAGUGUGUCUUUGAACGGUGAACUCCAGAUACCUGGCAUCCUCUGGUUUCAAAUAGCCUUUCCGUGGUACAUUGGGGCUAUGCCACGGGCGACAUAACAUCCCCUACACUCGUGGGAACAAAAAUGUCUAGAAACUUAAAUGUAAAAUACUUAAAAAACCAAAGAAUACCAGAAGAAAAUGAUAAAUUUUUAACAGGAAAGGCCAAAGGGAUAAUCAAACGUUACAAUAAAUUGAUUGCGUUUGGUAUUCAUCAUAAGGAUGCUAAAUUACUAGCGUAUAGUCAGAAAGAAACAGCUCAAAUUUUUAACAAAUCAAGAAACAUCGCUACGGACAAUAUCAGAGGUCUGAUAACUCUUGACAAAGACACUGAAGAUAAGGUACAAGAAGCUUUUCAAUUUGAGCGUCAACGUGAUAUAUUAAGAUAUUUUCUAAGGCAAGGUGUUACAAUGGAAGAAGCCAUGCCUUUGGCUAGAGAAGCUGGCGAAAAUAACGAAGCUUUCGACAGAAUCCAAGCCAAGCGUUUUGUACGCGAACAACUUAGAUCUAUAAAAGCUUCUACGGAUGCAAUUGCGGUCAACGGAGGUGCGCGAAAACGUUUCAGAAUAUUAGUUGAUAAAUUUGUUAAUCUGGAUAAGGCAAGAGAAAUAUGUCACGAUCCGUGGGAAACGAAACGAACUAUAUUUGCGCUCAGAGGCAAGGUAUUGCCACCCAAAGCCGAUGCAAACACGCCAUCGAUUUCCAAUAAACGUAACGAAACAGCAUAUACGAAAUUUAAAUCACAAAUUCGCAAAUGGGCUCGAAACGAAACCAACACACAAACAAAUGCAUCGUUUAAUGCCAACCAAUCUCAGCAAAAUCUGGUAAAUUUUAGAAACGACACAGCAACGCCAUUGACGCAAUCAGCGGAUUUCAAUUUGACUUCAAGAAACCAUGAAAUGAGGCGGAAUGAACAAAUAGCACCACCUCAGCUAUUUACCGGCUACAAUGAGUCGCUUAACCACAAUACUUACCAGCAGCAAAGGGCACAACAAGAAUUAUUUGCUUCACGAUAUGAUAACACGCCGACGCAACAGUUGCGAGACGACGCCGCAAAUGUGAAGUUAGCUGUUAUAUCAUCCGACUAUCCUUUCACCAUUUGGUCUACGGAUAUACUGAAGCGAAUACAACAAUUCAUUUCACAGGCAGCCAACGCUGAUGGAAUUGAUUUGUCAGCUCGACAUGUUAAAUGUAAUUUUCGGCCCGGUUGGAUCGUUUACAACAUUCGCGAUUUGACCACUACGCAAUGGUUUAGAGCGAGAGUUCCUAAUUUGCAACCAUGUAGUACUCCACUUAAUGUAAUCGAUGAAAAUGAAGUGCCACGAUCAGAAAUCUUUGUAGCGCAUAUCCCUGAAAGGAGGGAUAUAUCUACUAAUAGGCUGUUGGACAACAUUGCUUCCGAUAAUCGUGAUUUACGCACACAAGACUGGAAUGUUAUGGACAAAGUUCAAAGAGGUUCCAUAUGGGAACUCAAAGUUGUAAUCGAUCCAUUUUCUGCAAGAGUCCUAAAACAAAAUAACUACUCAAUUCGAUACGGACGUUCGACAGCCAUUAUAAAACCUAGACAAUCAUCGAGUACAUCUCACCAUACCGAUAACAGAAAUGAAGAUAGAGGCCACUCAUCUUAUUCAAGAAGUACGUCUAGAGAUGCCAACCGUUACAGAAGAGAAUACAACAGAAAUGAGCAUAGAGGCCGCUUAUCUUCUCCGGCAUCUUCAAGCCAGCGCCAUUUAAGAGGUUCGUCUAGUGAACAUUUUGAAAGAGGAGAUCGUAGUCAUCGAAAAAGAGAUUAUGACAGAUACGAAAAUAAUGGCUCCUCAAGACGCAGAAAUCAAGCUCACAAAUAUUCACGAAAUUAAAACAUAUAGAUUAAAUAUGUUCCUUUAUUUAAAGGCUUUUAGCAUUAAAAAAAAAAGUCUCCAAAAAAACUACAGUUUUAAUUAAACGUUUGCAUCAGCAAUUUGAACAUUUCGAAAAGGAUAACUUAUAUGCUUAUACAACAAUCCGUGAACCCUCCAGAAAAUUGGAAUUAUCAAAGGAGAUGCUCAAAUUAGUGAAAUUGAUGUGACCUGAGGGCGGAGGGAGCUAACGUGAACAUGAGCGACCGCACUUAAGGCAUUCAGCAUAUUAUUCAUUGUUUCCUUCCAACUCUUUCUUUAUGUUCUAAAUGUGAUAAAUCCAUUUCAUUGUAACCUGAUUCAUAUAACAAAAUAAUGAAAUAAAUCCUUGGAGAAACACA